AGGAUGAACGCUGGCGGCGUGCUUAACACAUGCAAGUCGAACGAAGCAGUUAUACGAUCCCUCGGGGUGACGAUUACUGACUGAGUGGCGGACGGGUGAGUAACGCGUGGGUAACCUGCCUUGUACAGGGGGACAACAGUUGGAAACGACUGCUAAUACCGCAUAAGCGCACAGCUUCGCAUGAAGCAGUGUGAAAAGUAUUUUCGGUACAAGAUGGACCCGCGUCUGAUUAGCUAGUUGGUGAGGUAACGGCCCACCAAGGCGACGAUCAGUAGCCGACCUGAGAGGGUGACCGGCCACAUUGGGACUGAGACACGGCCCAAACUCCUACGGGAGGCAGCAGUGGGGAAUAUUGCACAAUGGGCGAAAGCCUGAUGCAAGCGACGCCGCGUGAGCGAAGAAGUAUUUCGGUAUGUAAAGCUCUAUCAGCAGGGAAGAUAAUGACGGUACCUGACUAAGAAGCACCGGCUAAAUACGUGCCAGCCGCCGC
rnacentral:rRNA from 1 species